rfam:Gossypium hirsutum cultivar TM-1 chromosome 11, whole genome shotgun sequence
UGUUAAAAGUUUCAUCCGUUUCUAUUAUUAAAAACUGACAUUAACAAAAUAAUUAGACAGUUACACAUGUCAUGCCAUGUGUACCUCAUUCUGACAUUCAAGGACCAAUUCUUAAUAGUAGAAAUUAAUGAAACUUUUAAUA